CGAUGAGAUCGUCAGUGAUAUUCUGGCGCUGCUGGAUGCCAAGGAUCUGGGCAUCUCGAGCAAGGCAUUCAAUGUUUUCAGCCACCUCCUCGCGGAGCUGAAAGGAGGAUUUUUGUUGCAAGGAAGCUGGAGAAAGACUUACAUCUCAGCUCGAUCAGCUUGGACAAAGAAAGAGGAUUUCUCUUCUCGAUGGGCUUGUACAAAGAAAGAGGAUUUCUCUCCUGUCAAGGUGGAAGACUUCUAUUCGGACUACUUGUUCCAGAGCUGGCUCUGUGCCAGUGUGGAGAUCAAAGACGAGUGGAUUUUCAGGGACAACAUCGAGCGUAGAAGCCACCUUUCAGUCGAUGACUUUGUACGCGAUUUCGAGAGGCCGAACAAACCAGUGCUUAUCACCCAUGCUAUCAACGACUGGCCUGCGCUGGAACGCUGGAACCAGGAGUAUUUACUCGAGCUGUGUGGGGACGAGCUCACAUCCAAGGUUGUGCCGACUAUUGUAAAACUUUUUGCGUCGACCGACCGUGCCAUUCGAGCAAGUUUAUUGCAAAACAUUGAUCAGUUUUUCCGCAUUUGGCGACUGGUUUUUCGGACACUUGUGCCCUGCUACGAGAACUAACGUUGAAGUCAAUGCUCAUUCUUGCACCAAAGGUACUGUUUUUUUGUUUUCCUUUUUCCAUGUUAAAGACCAUUGUAACC